CGCCCGUCACACCAUGGGAGCUGGUAAUGCCCGAAGUCGGUUUUUUCAAACUGCCUAAGGCAGGACUGGUGACUGGGGUGAAGUCGUAACAAGGUAUCCCUACGAGAACGUGGGGAUGGAUCACCUCCUUUCUACGGAGUACAAUUUUUUGUUUUUUUACAAAGAUCCUUUUUCUCACAAUUUAUUUUUAUAUUUAUUUUGUUAUGUAUUGCUUCUGGAUCUUGGCUAAUAUCUAGUUUUGAGAGAACAUUUCUCUCAAUUGUUCUUUGAAAACUGAAUAGUAGUAAAUUUGAUAUUACAACGACAUCAAAAAUAAAAUUAACAAAAUAAUUGUCAAUUUGUUUUGAUCAUCGAGUAAUCAUUAUUGUUUAAUAAUAAUAAUGAUUCAUUGAAAUGUCUUAAAUACACAUCAACAAUAGGUUUUAUAUUGUACUUUUAAAUAAGUAAGAGUUUGUGGUGGAUGCCUUGGGUCUGGAAGUCGAUGAAGGACGUGAUUACCUGCGAUAAGCCUCGUGGAGCCGGAUAUAUGCUUUGAAACGGGGACUUCCGAAUGGGGAAACCUAACUAGGGUAAUGCCUAGUUGCAAAUGAUUGAAUCAAUAGAUCAUUUAGCGAGACACCAUGUGAACUGAAACAUCUUAGUAGCAUGAGGAAGAGAAAAUAAAUAAUGAUUUCAUCAGUAGCGGCGAGCGAAAGUGAAACAGCCCAAACCAAUUUUAUUGGGGUUGUAGGACAGUCUAUAUAGAGUUACAAAAUUUAAUGAUAGCAGAAGCUUUUGGGAAGGAGCGGCGAAGAGGGUGAUACCCCCGUAAGCGAAAUCCUUAAAUCUCUUGACUGUAUCCUGAGUAGGGCGGGGCACGUGAAACCCUGUCUGAAUCUGCCAGGACCACCUGGUAAGGCUAAAUACUAACCAGACACCGAUAGUGAACUA
rnacentral:sRNA from 2 species